CUGUCGAGUCCAGUGAGGGCGAGUGAGGCAAGGAGCAACAAAGUGGCAGCAUCAGCCACGGUGCCAGGUUCCAACCGUGGACCCAAAGUGCCCAGCGUCAAGUUCAGCGACGUCAGUGACACCAAGGAGGAAGACCCGAGUGUCACAGUCAAGAAGC
rnacentral:ribozyme from 1 species